rnacentral:lncRNA from 1 species
CUGUAAUGGCUGUUUCACAUUAAGUUGCUUUGUAGAAUUAUAAAACAGCUGUUCUUCUGCUUUCAAAUAAAAUGUUGUCAUCUGCUAAUGAAUGAGAUACCAUCUGUAAUAAUUAAGGUUAUUCUACUUGUUUUUCCCCUGCAGCAAAACUUCAGAAGGUUUGCAGAAGACAAUAAGAGAACCACCAAGAAGGCUAUUGCAGUGUUGUUUUGUCAGAACAUACAAAUAGCUGUGAUGAAAAAAGUGAGGAAAGGAAACUAG